rnacentral:rRNA from 1 species
UACGUAGGGGGCAAGCGUUGUCCGGAAUCAUUGGGCGUAAAGAGCGUGUAGGCGGCUCGAUAAGUCUGCUGUGAAAGUCCAGGGCUCAACCCUGGAAGGCCGGUGGAAACUGUCGGGCUAGAAUCCGGAAGAGGCGAGUGGAAUUCCCGGUGUAGCGGUGAAAUGCGCAGAUAUCGGGAGGAACACCAAUGGCGAAGGCAGCUCGCUGGGACGGUACUGACGCUGAGACGCGAAAGCGUGGGGAGCAAACAGGG